rnacentral:tRNA from 1 species
GGAGACGUGGCCGAGAGGCUGAAGGCACUUCCCUGCUAAGGAAGCAUACGGGCUUAAACCUGUAUCGAGGGUUCGAAUCCCUCCGUCUCCGCCA